UACGAAGGGUGCGAGCGUUGUUCGGAAUUAUUGGGCGUAAAGGGUUCGUAGGCGGGAAUAUAAGUUAAGUGUGAAAGACCUGGGCUCAACCUAGGAGUGGCAUUUAAGACUGUAUUUCUUGAGUCUCAGAGAGGGUGGUGGAAUUGCUGGUGUAGGAGUGACAUCCGUAGAGAUCAGCAGGAACAUCGGAGGCGAAGGCGACCACCUGGCUGAAGACUGACGCUGAGGAACGAAAGCGUGGGGAGCAAAC
rnacentral:rRNA from 1 species